CUUUGGGACAACUCGGGGCCGCAUAGACGGGAUCAUGGCACAAGUUGCAGUUUCCACCCUGCCCAUGGAAGAUGAGGAGUCCAUGGAAGAUGAGGAGUCCAUUGAAGAUGAGGAGUCUGUUGAAGAUGAUUCCGUGGAAAGCAGGAUGGUGGUGACAUUGCUCAUAUCAGCUAUCGAGUCCACGGAUCAUGGCAGAAGUUGCAGUUUCCACCCUGCCCAUUGAAGAUGAGGAGUCUGUUGAAGAUGAGGAGUCCUUGGAGAGCAGGAUGGUGGUGACAUUCCUGUCAGCUCUCGACUCCAUGGACACCUGAUUCCCUUCUUCCUGCCCUCGGACAUGAGACUCCAGGUUCUUAUGCCUUUGGACUCUGGGACUUGCACCAGCGGCUUCCCCGAGGCUCUCAGGCCCUCGGCCUCAGACUGAAGACUGCACUGCGGGCUUUCCUGGUUUUGAGGCUUUUGGACUUGGACUGAGCCACUACUAGCUUCUCUCUUUCCCUACCUGGCAGACAGCCUAUUGUGGGACUGCCUUCUAACCGUGUGAACCAAUUCUCUCUGGUAAACUCCCUUAUACAUAUACGUGUAUCUUGUUGGAUCUGUCCCUCUGGAGAACCCUAACUAAUAUAUUUUGUUUAUUUUUUCUCCACUGCCCUUUCCUCUGCUUCUAGGCUUACCUAGACCACCACCAUUCUUUCCCCCUUUCUAAAGUAAAAGUUGUUUUUUUUCUCACUAAAUGCAUGGUAUUCUGCCCGUUUUCCAUGGCUUCCCUCAGCCUUGCUCUGUUUAUUCUUGCUCUCUUAAGAGGAAAUCCCUGCCUCUUCCGUGGCUUUUCCCACUUGGUCUACUUACUGGUUUCUGUUGUUCUCAGAGACACACUGAGACCUUUCACAUCUCACUGUCACUUCUUGGAAGGGCUCUCUACCUCGUCUGCCUGCUGAGCAACCUCUUGGGGAGACACGGGCACUCCUGAGUCACUGAACUUGAGCUAUUUGGUGUUGGUAUGUUAAUUUAUCUUCUUAGACCACUUACCACUUCCUUAACUUCAAAAGAGAAGAAUAAGUAUUAUUUUCCAUGGUCAAUAUGAAGAGUAGAAAUAACUUAUACAAAAUGCAUUGCAGUUAAGUGAUAAUAAAUGGCCGUGAAUGCCCUUAUUAAUGUUAUUCUAUCAGUCUCAGCUCAGAUACCAUCUGCUCUGUGAGCUCUGCUCUGAAUCAUAUCUGCUUCUUCUCUGGGUUUCUUGUGCUCUGUUCUUAACUACUUUAAAGCAGUAAUUGUUCUGAUUCUAAUUAGUGAUCCUUCCCAAUAAAAUUUUAAUUUCAUAGAUCUCUUCCCCCCACCCCUGCCCCAGCCUAACCAGUGUUUUCUUACUUUAUUGUGUACAGGCUACAUCACUGGUCUUCUUUUAUUUGUGGCUAAAUAAAUGUUGUGUUAGAAGAGUAAAGAGUUCCCAGUUACAUGGGAUCUAUAGUUCUACAAAAUGAAUGUAUACAUAAUCCAUGUAAAUAUUUCAUUUAUUUUAAGACAAUUUUUUAAUUUUUAAAUUAAAUUUAAUUUGUUCAUGUGUGUGAGACCAGAGUGAGAACAGAGAUGGUGGCGGUGAGGGGUGGUGGUCUCACCAUGUUGCCCAGGCUGGUCUUGAACUCCCCUUCAAGUGCCCCCCUCCUCACCUGGCCCUCCUCACCUUGCCUCCUCCCCUCUCACUCCUAUGCCAGCCCCUGCCAUUCCCCACCCCCUCUGUAGACUGCAAGACUCAACAAGUGACUUGCUGAGCAAACUCUGCUGAGAAGAGGUCUGUUUAGGGACACAGGAGGCCAAGUACACAAAAAAGCAAAAGAACUAGCAUGCCUUUUUCAAUGGAUGUCUAUUUUACAGGGCUGGCUUCAGAUUAUUGUUAUAGCUUUAAAUAAAAGGACCGUUUUGUCAUCUUGGCCCAUGACCUACAUUAUUUCUUUACUGUCCAUUGCCCUGGACACUUGACUAAUUAUUUAACAGCAGUUUUUUUUUUUUAAUUUUAAAUCAUGAUUCAUUGCAUUGCUGUAAGAGUAAUUAGAGGUAAAGUAGGGCUUGAAACUGCCUGUAGUUGGUUACUUACUGAGAUCUUAGCAUAAUUGUCA
rnacentral:lncRNA from 1 species